rnacentral:rRNA from 1 species
GGGUAGUUUGACUGGGGCGGUCUCCUCCCAAAGAGUAACGGAGGAGCACGAAGGUGCACUCAGCAUGGUCGGAAAUCAUGCGGUGCGUGCAAAGGCAGAAGUGCGCUUGACUGCGAGACCGACGGGUCGAGCAGGGUCGAAAGACGGUCUUAGUGAUCCUGUGGUUCUGAAUGGAAGGGCCAUGGCUCAACGGACAAAAGGUACUCCGGGGAUAACAGGCUGAUACCGCCCAAGAGUUCACAUCGACGGCGGUGUUUGGCACCUCGAUGUCGGCUCAUCACAUCCUGGGGCUGAAGCGGGUCCCAAGGGUAUGGCUGUUCGCCAUUUAAAGUGGUACGCGAGCUGGGUUUAGAACGUCGUGAGACAGUUCGGUCCCUAUCUGCCGUGGGCGUUUGAGAUUUGAGAGGAGCUGCUCCUAGUACGAGAGGACCGGAGUGGACGAACCUCUGGUGUUCCGGUUGUCACGCCAGUGGCACCGCCGGGUAGCUAUGUUCGGAAGGGAUAACCGCUGAAAGCAUCUAAGCGGGAAGCCCCCCUUGAGAUGAGAUCUCACCAAAUCUUCGAGAUUUCUGAAGGGCCCUCGUAGACUACGAGGUUGAUAGGCGGGAUGUGUAAGCGUUGUGAGGCGUUGAGCUAACCCGUACUAAUUGCCCGUGCGGCUUGACCAUAUAACCGAG